UUUUCUCUUCCGGUUGCAAUGCGGGAUGGCAGAUAUGGUUACAGACAGUAGGAAAAAAAAGCACGAAAAGUCGAUGGAUAGGACAUAGUAAACUGUACACCGGAAUUGGUGAUUGGCUUUAUAUGGAGUGAAUUUAAGGACUGGUCAAAAGUACAAUGAUCCCUGUUACACAAUGAAGUGACGUAUUAUAUGUUGGUUAAAUAGAAGGUUCGGUAUUGGUUUGGUUUUGAGGGGAUGUGGUAAAUCCUUUGAUGGUGUUUGAGUUGUGGUGUAGCGGAACAGGAGAGUUUGCCCUCACAGGAAAGUACUAAACCGGCAUAUGGAUAACGGUACAAAGAGCGCACCGUUUUUGAUACCAUGCUACAGAUUUUGUUAAAAUGUUGCAAAAUAAACUUUAUAAAUGGUAACUUAUUGAAAAGCUGACAUGUAGUCAUCAAUUAAAAAAAGAUAUAAAAUGCAUUAUUUUUUUUCUUCAAUCUUUGACGACUACCUUAUUAGUUUCUAAUUUCUAUUAUCACUCUAAUAGCUACACAACCACCUUAUAAUAGCAUUCCAGGCACACGUUAAAUAAGAUAGGUUAAAAUGCGCUAAGGAGAAAAAUUAGAGCUGAUGUACGGGAAGUUCCAAUGAGUAACCUUUAAAAUAAACACAUUAAAACUAAUUAAAAAAUCACCUAAUAUGAUUUGUCAAACGUUGAAAUAUUCGAUCCUCUCCAUUUGUAUUGCAUAAAUUGUCGUUUGUAUUGUAUAAUUUUCUAUUUGUAUUCUAAAACUUUUUUUGCAUUGUAUAAUUUUUAUUUGUAUUCCAUAAUUUUCAAUUUACAUUGUAUAAGUUUAAUUUGUAUUGUAUAACUUUUGUGUAAUUUUUCAUUUGUAUUGUGUAAAUUUUAUUUGUUUUUUAAAAUGUUUCAUUUGUAGUGUACACGUAUUUAUUUGUAUUGCAGAAAUUUUCAUUUGUUUUGUAUCAUAAAGAUUGUUUAUUUUC
rnacentral:sRNA from 1 species